rnacentral:rRNA from 1 species
UACAGAGGUCCCAAGCGUUGUUCGGAUUUACUGGGCGUAAAGGGUGCGUAGGCGGUUGGGUAAGUCUGACGUGAAAUCUCCGAGCCUAACUCGGAAACUGCGUUGGAUACUAUCCGGCUAGAGGAAUGGAGGGGGGACUGGAAUACUUGGUGUAGCAGUGAAAUGCGUAGAUAUCAAGUGGAACACCAGUGGCGAAGGCGAGUCUCUGGACAUUUCCUGACGCUGAGGCACGAAAGCCAGGGGAGCAAACGGG